GGAUGCGAUCAUACCAGCACUAAAGCACCGGAUCCCAUCAGAAAUCCGAAGUUAUGCGUGCUUGGGCUAGAGUAGUACUAGGAUGGGUGACCUCCUGGGAAGUCCUCGUGUUGCAUCCC
rnacentral:rRNA from 1 species